CGCUUGUACAUCAGCCAGCCAGGCAGCGACAUUUGUCGAGUAUCUGGUGUGCUGGAGGCAUUGCAGUGCGUGACUGUGAAGGCUGAAAAGGAGCGGAGACGUCUUUGACCUUGAGGGAUGGUCUCCCUUCUGCAAGUGACACCACACCCCAGCGUUUGGGAGAAAAAGAAGCAAGCUUGAGAAGGUGACUCACUCCUGUUCUGUGGAUCUACCGCCAUCACCAACGCCAUCACAGUCUGAGAAGAGCAUGCCUGUCAAGUCCUAAAACCUUUGCUACCUUUUUUGGCUGUUUCCAGUCCAACAGCAUGGAUGGCACCAGAAUUCACCUAAUCCUGUAAAUGGACACCCACCUGGGAAGCCCCGGUAGAGGAUCAGUUGAGUGUGGGGACAAGGACAUAGAUGACGCUGAAGCUGGAAUGAAGUUCACACAUCUGGACACCCUGCCACACACACAUACAGAUGAAGAAAAUGGGCCUCACAGAGCGUGGAAUAGGACACCCCAAGACCACGGUCUAGGUUAAAUAAAACAUCCUUGUCAGAUUGUCUGUGUGAAGCA